AGUAAAACAGGUGGACCGAACUGAAGUUAGUCGGGGUCCGGUUCCGCCCGCUGCUCCUCCCCGGGCAGAGAGAACCGGGUCUUCAUCGGAGCCGUGGUGUCGGGUCAGACACGUGACUGUUUCUUCUGCAUAAAUUCACGAUUCUGCUACCAGUCGUCACGCUGCGAAAGGUCAAAUACAGAAGUGCCGAGAGAUAAAUCAGAUUACAGCCAGGAUUUACCUAUUUAGAUUUCAUCAGUGAAGUAAAAACAAGUUUGGACUUCCAGAUGGAGCUGAAGCUCAUAUUUUUGAUGACUGACACAGCAGAAGAGGAAGAUGUUCUUCACAUCACAGACGGUUCUGACUAUGUGCGUACAGUAAAGAUGACACCAUUUAUAUUGUACCGCUGUCUUUGGUGUAACUCUGGUCAAGGUUACCUUAUAGCUUGGAGGAUUUGUUACUCUUAAUAAAGAGUUAAAAAGCCUGCUAAAUGCUAAAUUAUUUCGUUCACUUCAUAACAUAUCUGGACACUUUUUCUCGAACCGCUGAACCUUCAACCCAGCUGUGGAUUAGCAGGGAAAGGAUGAACGAGUAGCUUCAUGUCUUCUUCAUGAUCAGAGAAAGGCACAAUUCAACUGCUGAUGGUUAUUUGUAUGUACAUAUUGAC